rnacentral:rRNA from 1 species
GGUUGAUCCUGCCAGUAGUCAUAUGCUCGUCUCAAAGAUUAAGCCAUGCAUGUCUAAGUGCAAGCCGAGCUAAGGUGAAACCGCGAACGGCUCAUUAUAUCAGUUAUGGUUCCAUGGGCCGAGCGCAAAGAUACUUGGACAACUGUGGCAAUUCUAGAGCUAAUACAUGCAAACUGAGCUCCGACCUUUGACGGUGAGAGCGCUUUUAUUAGACCAAGACCAAACGGGCCCUCGGGCCCGCCGCCUUGGUGACUCUGAAUAACUUGGUGCCGAUCGCACGGUCCUAGCACCGGCGACGUACCUUUCAAAUGUCUGACUUAUCAACUUUUGAUGGCAGUUCCCGCGCCUGCCAUGGUCACCACGGGUGACGGGGAAUCAGGGUUCGAUUCCGGAGAGGGAGCCUGGGAAACGGCUACCACAUCCAAGGAAGGCAGCAGGCGCGCAAAUUACCCACUCCCGGCACGGGGAGGUAGUGACGAAAAAUAACAAUACGGGACUCAUCCGAGGCCCCGUGAUUGGAAUGAGUACACUUUAAAUCCUUUAGCGAGUACCUAUUGGAGGGAAAGUCUGGUGCCAGCAGCCGCGGUAAUUCCAGCUCCAAUAGCGUAUACUUGAGUUGCUGCGGUUAAAAAGCUCGUAGUUGGACUUGGGCCGCGGCCAGUCGGUUCACCUGCCGGUGCACACUGACUGGUCCCGCGGACGUCCUGCCGGUAUGUCCCCUGGUGCUCUUCACUGAGUGUCUCGGGUGGCCGGCACAUUCACUUUGAACAAAUUAGAGUGCUCAAAGCAGGCGGCUCGCCUGAAUACAUGUGCAUAGAAUGAUUGAAGAGGACCUCGGUUCCAGUCUGUUGGUCUCGGAACUCGAGGUAAUGAUGAGUGGGGACGGACGGGGGCAUUCGUAUUGCGACGUUAGAGGUGAAAUUCUUGGAUCGUCGCAAGACGAACAGAGGCAAAUGCAUUUGCCAAGAAUGUCCCCGUCAAUCAAGAACGAAAGUUAGAGGUUCGAAGGCGAUCAGAUACCGCCCUAGUUCUAACCAUAAACGAUGCCAGCCAGGUAUCCGCCGUAGUUACUUGGAUGACUCGGCGGGCAGCUUCCGGGAAACCAAAGCUUUUGGGUUCCGGGGGAAGUAUGGUUGCAAAGCUGAAACUUAAAGGAAUUGACGGAAGGGAACCACCAGGAGUGGAGCCUGCGGCUUAAUUUGACUCAACACGGGGAACCUCACCAGGCCAGGACACUGGUAUGAUUGACAGAUUGAGAGCUCUCUCCUGAUUCAGUGGGUGGUGGUGCAUGGCCGUUCUUAGUUGGUGGAGCGAUUUGUCUGGUUAAUUCCGUUAACGAGCGAGACUCUGGCCUGCUAACUAGACGUCGGAUCUCUACACGAGUCCGGCGGUCUUCUUAGAGGGACAGGCGGCGUCCAGUCGCAUGAGAGUGAGCGAUAACAGGUCUGUGAUGCCCUUAGAUGUCCUGGGCCGCACGCGCGCUACACUGAAGGAGACAGCGUGUGUGUCCCCUGUCCGAAAGGACCGGGUAACCCGCUGAACCUCCUUCGUGCUGGGGAUUGGGGAUUGCAAUUCUUCCCCAUGAACGAGGAAUUCCCAGUAAGCGCCGGUCAACAGCUGGCGUUGAUUACGUCCCUGCCCUUUGUACACACCGCCCGUCGCUACUACCGAUUGAAUGGUUUAGUGAGGCCUUCGGACUGGGGGCACCGGGACCCGGCGGCCCUUCGCGGGUCGUCGCGGGCUCGGAGGUCCCCGGGAAGAUGUCCGAACUUGACCAUUUAGAGGAAGUAAAAGUCGUAACAAGGUUGCCGUAGGUGAACCUGCGG